AGGGAAACAACAAAAUAGUAAACUACAGGCCAAUAGACUUGAUGAACAUAGAUGCAAAACUCCUCCACAAAAUAUUAACAAACCAAAUUCAACAACACUUAAAAAAGUUA